rnacentral:rRNA from 1 species
GACAGAGGGUACAAACGUUGUUCGGAAUUACUGGGCGUAAAGCGCGUGUAGGCGGCUAAGUAAGUCGGGCGUGAAAUCCCACGGCUCAACCGUGGAAGUGCACUCGAAACUGCAUAGCUAGAGUCCUGGAGAGGAAGGUGGAAUGCUUGGUGUAGAGGUGAAAUUCGUAGAUAUCAAGCGGAACACCGGUGGCGAAGGCGGCCUUCUGGACAGUGACUGACGCUGAGACGCGAAAGCGUGGGGAGCAAACAGG